UUUCCCGUGGCUCUCUGCUGUCCUCUCAAAAUUCCCCCCCCUCUAAAUUUGUCUCUCUUUUCCCUCAUCUGAACUCCUUCAACUCAUAAAAAUGGCGUCAAUUUUCUCUCUCAAAUCAAAUAAAGUCAUUUCUUCUCCUCUUUCAACGCCCCCCAGUACCAGUAGUCACACUACUGUCUAUCCCCGCUUCUUGUUUGAACCCUGCAACUCUUCUUCAGGGAAAUGGUUGGGAAUUAGGGCUUCAAGACGUAGAGUUUCAAGAAUUGGGGUUUCAGGUAAGGAAGGAGCGAGGGAGAUUGUGGACGCAGAACAAAUCAGGGUUCCUACUGCUUUUAGAGACUCUGAAGAGUUUCAGGCAACUUAUUUGAGCUCAAAGAACGAGGAUGAGAAGAGUAGUUUUGAGGGUUUGGAUGUCUGGAAAUGGCCGCCAUGGAAGAAUUUGCCUAAGCGAUACAAGCUCAUUGGGGCUACUUCUCUUGCUUUUGUCAUCUGUAACAUGGAUAAGGUGAACUUAAGUGUUGCAAUUAUCCCUAUGUCACAUCAAUUUGGGUGGAAUUCCUCAGUGGCUGGAUUGGUGCAAUCUUCUUUCUUUUGGGGAUAUGCUUUGAGUCAACUACCUGGUGGAUGGCUUGCAAAGCUUUUUGGUGGAAGGAAGGUUCUUGAGGUUGGAGUCUUGGCUUGGUCUCUAGCUACUAUACUAGUACCUUUGGUUGCAGGAUUUAUGCCUGGACUUAUUUUGUCGAGGGUUCUGGUUGGCAUAGGAGAAGGUGUCUCUCCUUCAGCUGCAACAGACCUCAUUGCGAGGUCAGUGCCGUUACAGGAGCGCUCCAGAGCAGUGUCAUUUGUUUUUGCGGGAUUGAGCAUUGGAAGUGUUGUAGGGCUAUUAGUGGCACCUCAGUUUAUCCAAAACUUCGGUUGGGAAUCUGUCUUUUACACUUUUGGAGUUCUUGGAAUUCUUUGGUGUUUGGGCUUGCAGCUUGCCUUGGAUGAAGGGCAGUCCAUUUUCCCUGAUGCAUACUUGCUCUUAGGAAAGUCUUGGGAUGCUUCUAGCAACACAUUGACAGCUCUUCCUGGUAAACAGUCAUUGGCCACUUCUAUGAGGGAAUUGGGUUCAUCGCUUAAGGACGUACCAUGGAAGGCAUUUUUCAAAAGCCCAGCUGUAUGGGCUAUGAUAUAUGUACACUUUUGUGGGAGUUGGGGCCACUAUACUUGUCUCUCCUGGCUCCCUACUUAUUUUAGUGAGGAGUUGGAUUUGAAUUUGACAGAAGCAGCAUGGGUAUCGGUCCUUCCUCCUUUAGCUUCAAUUAUUGUGACCAGCAUUGCAGCACCAUUUGCAGACAACUUGAUCUCUAACGGAGUUGAAACAACUACAGUAAGAAAAAUUUGUCAAACCAUUGCCUUCUUGUCCCCUGCCUUGUCUAUGACUCUUGCCUCUUCAGAUUUAGGCUUGCCUCCUUGGGAAAUUGUUGCAUGCCUAACCACUGGUUUAGCCCUCUCAAGUUUUGCCCUAUCAGGAUUAUAUUGUACCCAUCAAGAUAUUUCUCCAAACUAUGCAAGUAUACUUUUGGGUAUUACUAACACAGUUGGAGCAGUGCCAGGAAUCAUUGGUGUUGCCCUCACUGGUUAUCUUCUAGAUCUUACGCAGUCAUGGAGUUUGGCACUGUUUGCACCAUCCAUCUUUUUCUACUUGACUGGUACAGUUGUUUGGUUAGUUUUUGCCAGCAGCAAACCUCAAAGCUUUUCCCAUGAAGAUUGAGCUUCACAGGAUCCCUAGAUUUUAUGUUUGGGAUUUAGCUUAGUACCAAAUUCAACUUAUUCUUUUGGGAGAGGGAAUAUGUCAACAUGUAUUGAUCAUUCUAAUAGUUUUAGUACUUCUAUGGCAGUGAACCACCUGCCUUUAAGCAGCGUCAUUCUUUUGAUACACUUACAGAAUGACUUAUCUGCGUUCUCUCAUACGAGCCUUCUCCAAGACACCCCCAAAAGCUUUAGCUUCUCCACUAGCUAUGCAUUUGGUUUUUGUAACUUUUGUUAUAUGCAAUUUUCCUCAAGUGGACAGGCUUUUGGAUUAUAUCCAUGUAAAGGAUUGUGAACUGGAUCUGCCCAUGCAAAUCCUCACGACCAUGGCACGCUAAAUAUAUAGCAUGUGUAGAACAUGCAUCCUGGGGCAUGUAUAAGAGGCAUGUGCACAAACACAAUGGAAAACGGAGCAACAACUAUGGGUUCUGAGGAAUUUACUCUUAUUG